AGAUGAGGUAGAGAUCGCGAUAAAUAAUAGUUACUUGAAAGAAAGUCAGAGAACUGAACUUGCUGAUUUCAAGCGAAAGGAUUUUUCGCAGAAGCACUGAUCGCUCUGAUUACUGUUGCUGGGACUGGCACUGAAUAUGUGCAGAACUGUCAAAGUGAUUGACCAUGAAAACUAUCUUUUUG
rfam:Paenisporosarcina sp. HGH0030 genomic scaffold acAqH-supercont1.3, whole genome shotgun sequence.